rnacentral:tRNA from 1 species
GGCGGGGUAGAGGAGUCCGGUACCUCGGGAGGUUCAUACCCUCUGUCAUUACGCAGGUUCAAAUCCUGCCCCCGCUACCA